CAAAGUAAAGCUAAAGAUUAGCAUUUCACUUACGUUGAAAAGGUUGUCGUUUGGGCGGCAUAUUUUGG
rnacentral:tRNA from 1 species